AGAAGUGAGAAUGCCGGUAUGAGUAUGCGAAAAGACAAGUGAGAAUCUUGUCCGCCGAAAAUCUAAGGGUUCCUGGGGAAGGCUCGUCCGCCCAGGGUAAGUCGGGACCUAAGCCGAGGCCGAAAGGCGUAGGUGAUGGACAACUGGUUGAAAUUCCAGUACCACCGAGAAGCGUUAUCAGCAAUGGGGAGACACAGAAGGAUAGGUUAAGCGUGCCGUUGGUUGAGCACGCCCAAGCGAGUAGGAGGUAGGGCAGGUAAAUCCGCCCUGCGAUAACUCUGAGACGUGAUGGGGAGCGAAAAUUAGUAGCGAAGUAACCGACUCCAGGCUGUCAAGAAAAGCCUCUAGCGAGCUGGCUUGGUGCCCGUACCGCAAACCGACACAGGUAGAUGGGGUGAGAAACCUAAGGCGCGCGAGAAAACCCUCGUUAAGGAACUCGGCAAAAUGGCCCCGUAACUUCGGGAGAAGGGGCGCUCAUUGCAAGAUGAGCCGCAGAGAAAAGGUCCAGGCGACUGUUUAACAAAAACACAGGUCCCUGCUAAUCCGCAAGGAGAUGUAUAGGGGCUGACACCUGCCCGGUGCUGGAAGGUUAAGAGGAGAGGUUAGCCGCAAGGCGAAGCUUUGAAUUGAAGCCCCAGUAAACGGCGGCCGUAACUAUAACGGUCCUAAGGUAGCGAAAUUCCUUGUCAGGUAAGUUCUGACCCGCACGAAAGGUGUAACGAUCUGGACACUGUCUCAACGAGGGACUCGGCGAAAUUGUAAUACCCGUGAAGAUGCGGGUUACCUGCGACAGGACAGAAAGACCCCAUGGAGCUUUACUGCAGCUUGACAUUGGAUUUUGGUAUAAAAUGUACAGGAUAGGUGGGAGACAGAGAAGCUAGGGCGCCAGCCUUGGUGGAGUCGACGGUGGGAUACCACUCUUUUUGUACUGAAGUUCUAACUAGGUCCCCUGAAUCGGGGAUUAGGACAGUAUCAGGCGGGCAGUUUGACUGGGGCGGUCGCCUCCUAAAGAGUAACGGAGGCGCCCAAAGGUUCCCUCAGCGCGGUUGGAAAUCGCGCGCAGAGUGUAAAGGCAAAAGGGAGCUUGACUGCGAGACCCACAAGUCGAGCAGGGACGAAAGUCGGGCUUAGUGAUCCGGUGGUACCGAGUGGAAGGGCCAUCGCUCAACGGAUAAAAGCUACCCUGGGGAUAACAGGCUUAUCUCCCCCAAGAGUCCAUAUCGACGGGGAGGUUUGGCACCUCGAUGUCGGCUCAUCGCAUCCUGGGGCUGUAGUAGGUCCCAAGGGUUGGGCUGUUCGCCCAUUAAAGCGGUACGUGAGCUGGGUUCAGAACGUCGUGAGACAGUUCGGUCCCUAUCCGUCGCAGGCGCAGGAAAUUUGAGAGGAUCUGUCCCUAGUACGAGAGGACCGGGAUGGACGAAUCACUGGUGUACCAGUUGUCUCGCCAGAGGCACAGCUGGGUGGCUAUAUUCGGAUCGGAUAAGCGCUGAAAGCAUCUAAGCGCGAAACCGGCCUCAAGAUGAGAUUUCCCACAGUGUAAGCUGGUAAGACCCCUGAAGGAAGAUCAGGUUGAUAGGCCGGAUGUGGAAGCACCGUGAGGUGUGGAGCUGACCGGUACUAAUCGGUCGAGGGCUUGACCUA
rnacentral:rRNA from 1 species